GGCAGUAUAGUCUAGUGGACAAGGUGAUUGACUGGAGACCAAAAGGUUGCUGGUUAGAUCCCCAGCUCCACUGGCA